AUCAACUUUCGAUGGUAGGAUAGAGGCCUACCACGGUGGUAACGGGUAACGGGGAAUUAGGGUUCGAUUCCGGAGAGGGAGCCUGAGAAACGGCUACCACUUCCAAGGAAGGCAGCAGGCGCGCAAAUUACCCAAUCCCGACACGGGGAGGUAGUGACAAUAAAUAACAAUACGGGGCUCUUUCGGGUCUCGUAAUUGGAAUGAGUACAAUUUAAAUCCCUUAACGAGGAACAAUUGGAGGGCAAGUCUGGUGCCAGCAGCCGCGGUAAUUCCAGCUCCAAUAGCGUAUAUUAAAGUUGUUGCAGUUAAAAAGCUCGUAGUUGAAUUUCGGGAUUGACGUGACGGUCGUGCCUUAAGGGGUAUGAACUGUUGCAGUCAAUUUCUCACCUUCUGGAGAAAUAUGAUGUCCUUAAUUGGGUGUCAUAUGGAACCAGAACUUUUACCUUGAAAAAAUUAGAGUGUUUAAAGCAAGCUUAUUGCUCGAAUACAUUAGCAUGGAAUAAUAAAAUAGGACGGCAUGAUUCUAUUUUGUUGGUUUCUAGGAUCACCGUAAUGAUUAAUAGGGAUAGUUGGGGGCAUUAGUAUUCAGUUGUCAGAGGUGAAAUUCUUGGAUUUAUUGAAGACUAACUACUGCGAAAGCAUUUGCCAAGGAUGUUUUCAUUAAUCAAGAACGAAAGUUAGGGGAUCGAAGACGAUCAGAUACCGUCGUAGUCUUAACCAUAAACUAUGCCGACUAGGAAUCAGACGAUGUUAAUUUUUUAAUGACUCGUUUGGCACCUUACGGGAAACCAAAGUGUUUGGGUUC
rnacentral:rRNA from 1 species